UACGGAGGAUCCGAGCGUUAUCCGGAUUUAUUGCGUUUAAAGGGAGCGUAGGCGGGUUGUUAAGUCAGUUGUGAAAGUUUGCGGCUCAACCGUAAAAUUGCAGUUGAUACUGGCAUCCUUGAGUACAGUAGAGGUAGGCGGAAUUCGUGGUGUAGCGGUGAAAUGCUUAGAUAUCACGAAGAACUCCGAUUGCGAAGGCAGCCUGCUGGACUGUAACUGACGCUGAUGCUCGAAAGUGUGGGUAUCAAACAGG
rnacentral:rRNA from 1 species